AGAGUUUGAUCCUGGCUCAGAACGAACGCUGGCGGCGCGCUUAACACAUGCAAGUCGAGCGGUCCCUUUCGGGGGGCAGCGGCGGACGGGUGAGUAACGCGUGGGAACCUGCCCUGGAGUUCGGGACAACCGCGGGAAACUGCGGCUGACACCGGAUACGCCCUCGAUCGGUGACGAUGGGGGGGAAAGGUCACGCUCUGGGAUGGGCCCGCGUCCGAUUAGCUUGUUGGUGGGGUAACGGCCCACCAAGGCUGCGAUCGGUAGCCGGUCUGAGAGGAUGAUCGGCCACACUGGGACUGAGACACGGCCCAGACUCCUACGGGAGGCAGCAGUGGGGAAUCUUGGACAAUGGGCGCAAGCCUGAUCCAGCGACGCCGCGUGGGUGAUGAAGGCCUUCGGGUUGUAAAGCCCUUUUCCUGGGGACGAUGAUGACGGUACCCGGGGAAUAAGCACCGGCUAACUCCGUGCCAGCCGCCGCGGUAAUAC
rnacentral:rRNA from 1 species